UUGCUGGCCGACAGUGGACUCCGACAUUGAACGUCAAGUUCGUACUUGUCACCCAUGCCAGCAACAACGAAGCACCAGCUACCCAGCACCGCUGCAUCCCUGGGCCUGGCCCACAAAACCUUGGAGUCGCCUUCAUUUGGAUUUUCUUGGACCUUUUCAACACUCAUUCUACCUUGUGGUAGUGGACGCCCAUUCAAAAUGGCCAGAGGUUUUCAAGAUGACAACGACAACAACUGAAGCAACGGUCGGGACCCAAGUGGCUGUCUGCACAGAUUCUCGACAAAGUAGGACCGGUAACCUACCGUCUACAGGUAUCAACACCUGGUGGGUCAUUCGUGUGGAAAAGGCAUGUCGACCACCUGCGAAGAAACGGCUCAACGGAACCAUCUGAUGCAGAGCCCCAAUUCAUCAUCCCGAAGCUCCAUCCAGCUGUUGUAUCGUACCCUGCUUCGGAGGUACCGUCCGUUCCAGCAUCGCCAAGUGCAGCAUCCGUUCCUCAGGAGGUCUUUCCAAACGAUACUCCGGUCACAAACGACGAAGCCACCGAAAUGGACAAUACGGAAACAGCGUCAAGGGUCUCUACGGAACGGCGCUACCCUCAGCGCAACAGAAGACCUCCUGAUCGUUACAGCUGUGCUUAACCAAGUGAACUAAUUAUAACCGUGCCUCUCUUUAGUGAAACUUUGUUUAAAGUAAAAGUCAUUGCUUUCUUUUGCUUGGGGGGGAAGAGAUGUGAUAUCUGAUAUCUGUUUUCAGGACAUUAUCUGUCAUGAAAGUUGAAGGCCAUGUGUUGUUUUGCUUCUUGAGUGAUCACAUGUGUUGGGGGCGUAUCGCGUUUGUCUCUAUUAAAGGAAGCACACUCGUGCGCCCGGAGUGCCUUUUGUAGCGGCAGUGCUAGCCGCGUACAAUGUAACUAUCUUCUCAUGCAAGUGCAUCCAAUAAAGCUUGGCUCUGUGCAA